UGAGAUAUAAUAUUAGUAUUUUCUCUAUGCUUGGCAAAACAAAAAAAAGUUAUGCAGUGCAGAUUGCUAAUGGAUGGUACUUCCCCUGUAAUGCUGUCAACUCUAGAAGACGGCACAAUUGUAAGGAGCUUCGAAGGAUUACCUUCAGAGGGACCUGUUCUGUACGUUGGCUAUCACAUGCUAUUAGGAUUUGAGUUAGCUCCAUUGGUACUUCAACUCAUGAAAGAGAGGAACAUCCACCUGCGGGGUUUGGCACAUCCGCUGAUAUUUAAGAAUCUCAAAGACUCGCUAGUCAACGCGAAGAUGUUAGACAAAUAUAAGAUAAUGGGUGCAGUUCCUGUCUCCAAUAUGAAUUUCUACAAACUACUGCGUGAAAAGGCUCAUGUGCUUUUGUAUCCUGGAGGUCUCCGUGAAGCUUUUCAUAGAAAGGUGAUAGUAUAGUGAGUGAAAUUUUUUUUCAUGGUUUCUACAUUCUUGAUAAUUUUUAUUUUAGAGGCUUAAAUGUACAUAGUGACUAUGCAGGGUGAAGAAUACAAGCUGUUUUGGCCAGAACGAUCCGAGUUUGUGAGAGUUGCAUCUAAAUUUGGAGCCAAAAUUGUUCCUUUUGGUGUUCUUGGAGAAGACGACAUCUGCGAAGUAAGCUUUCUCUACUCUAUUCCUCUUCCUUCAUGUUUGCACGUUAGUACCACCAAGAACUGUAUAAUAUGAUCCAUUCAUAUUUCUGCAUUCUCGGCUUCAAAAUGACUAUAACAAUAUAUAUGCUCUACUACUCUUAUAUAUACCUGAAUCUCGGUUAUGAGUGACUUUGAAUGAUUCUCAGCUUGUACUGGAUUCCAAUGAUCAAAGGAACAUGCCUUAUUUGAAGGAUCUAGUGGAAAAGGCAACAAAGGACUCUGGCAAUAUAAGGUGUUUAAUCACACAAUAUUGUAUAUUGUACAUCAAAGUAUCACUAAUAUGAUUGAUUUGGAACGUCAGGGAAGGCGACGAGACCGAAUUGGGAAACCAAGAUGUCUAUAUCCCAGGACUUGUACCUAAGAUUCCAGGGAGAUUCUACUAUUACUUUGGGAAACCAAUAGACUUAGCAGGUAUGUAUACAAUCUAAGUGAUAGCUCUCUACUUCAAAUCACUGAUCUCAGUAUAUACUUGCAAUAACGGCGGGUUUUGUUUUAUGUGGCAGGUAAGGAGAAAGAGCUGAAAGACAAAGAAAAGGCACAAGAGCUUUACUUGCAAGUAAAGUCUGAGGUCGAACAAUGCAUUGCCUAUUUAAAAAGGAAAAGAGAGAGUGAUCCUUAUAGACACUUGUUGCCAAGGAUGUUGUAUCAAGCCUCACAUGGUUUGUCUUCUGAUAUCCCAACGUUUGAUCUCUAAAAUCUCCCUACUGUGGCUAUAUAUAUGUUGUACACAUCGAAUCAUAUGAUGUUCAGAGGUUCUACGAUCUUUACUUGUUCAUGGAAAACAUAAGGACAAGAUUAUUUAAUUGAAUGUCAUUUAUCAGAUUUCAAGUUGUAACCAAUUUGAGGUAUACUUACUUUGAAAGUCGUAUGAAUGCAGUCGUAUAUGUAACGUGGCUUUAUAAUCAAACAAGCAUUUCAAUUACUCUGUUUAAACCAAAGAUACACACACAUACAUGAUACAUGUGAGCACCCUCCCAAUUGAAAGUUCAACUAAUAAUUAAGUAAUUAAAAGUUGUGCAAAAUUUUGUUUUGUUUGUAGAAAUUUGAGAAGACGAAACUUGCACGUCUAAAACUUAGUUUCUAAAUUAUAACAAGAUACAAAAGGUCACUGUUUUUUUGAGGUGUUAUUAAUAUCCAAAAAAUGUAUUUAUUUUGCUCUAAACUCUUUUAAAUACAACAAGAGGUGUGCAAUAUGGACUUUUAGUCUAGCCUAGAAUAGAUACAGUCAUAUGAAAACAAAAAUGUUCUCUGAGUCUAUAAUUUUUGCGUUGCAGAAACAAAUAAGGUUGUAUCCUAAUAGAUUAUACGUCCGAACCAGACCUUACAUUGAUGUCGGCUGGCUCUGGUUCUGGUAGAUUAUAAUAUCCCACGUCGGUUGCACAUUUGUAAGGAUGGUGUUCAUUUCAGUUAGAAACUUUUGGGAUUACCACAUACAUACAUAUGACACAUUUUAUUAUCUUCAACUAUUGACCACUAUAGUAAUACUUAUAAGUCUAAUCAAUAAACCAGUUUAGAACUUGGACUUAGCCAAAUGAUCAUUUUCUUAGUUUGCAAAACUCCCUAGUAAUUACCUAAUUUCUUUUGGGAUUUUACUAACAAUCCUCUUUCUAAUAUUCAUUCAUGCAUGAUUUAAAUGUGGAUGGAGACAAACAUAGGUCCACAAUGAUACACAAAGCAUUCUCUGAUCAUUCAGGACUAGUGGAUUUGUUUAUUUAUUCAAUCAUAUACUCAAAUCUAGCUAAAAAAAAAACCAAGAAAAAUAUCUUUAUGAUCACUAGAUAUGUUUCUAUUCACCAUUUUAGUCAAAUGAUUCACCAAUUAAUAACCUUUUUUUUUUAAACAAAAUUAUGAAACAUGUGAAACGUCCAAUAUACUAGUAAAAAAAAUCUUUAUAGCCACUUGGAUAUUUGUGGCUGUGCCUUAAUAUAUAUUUGUGGCUAUAACGUCGUAACUUAAAUAAUUCGUGGUUUUUUUUUUUCUAAUAUCACUUUAUAGCCACGAAUUUUCGCAACUGCCAAGUGGGCAUAGAUAAUUUUUUUUACUAAUAUAUAUAUAUAAAAAUAUUUGAAAAAUAAAUACUAAAAUUUCCAACAUAAUUUGCUUAUUUUUUCUUACACUUCAAGAUAUAUAUACAUUGCGAAGUUAAACGUAAAUAAUCACAAAGCGACAAUACAGUACUGACUCAAUGAGGUCCAGUGGAUUUGUUUCCUAUAUCCUCUAUGUUUUUAUUUUUUAAAAUCCAACUAUAUAACAACAUCUUAAAUACCACGUAACAUUACACAUGUGACAUGUCCAAUAGAAUUUUAUUCCUUUCCUUUUUUCUUUUGUCCAAAAAUAUUUAUUUAUUUCCGUUUAAUUGUUUUUGUUUUCGAAAAGGAAAUACUAAAGUUAACAUUUCCGCGCACUUUGUUGGCUCUUUCCUUUAUUCAGAAUAGUUUUGUUGUCAUAUUCUCUCUGACUCUCUCCUUAGAGCUUCUCAUAAAAUGGAGACUGCAACAGUACUUCGCUCAACGUUUGGUCUCUGUGCCGUCUCUUCAUCAAAUCCACGACGUCAACGGACCUCAGCCGCAAAGCAUAGACUCACUUCGGUCAAAUCUAUAACGUCCACGACUCCUCCUCCUUCUAGUGGUGGUCGACGGAGAGGGAAGGGUAAUGAUGAAAAGGGAGCCACGGCGGUGGUGGCGAAGGUGGUCAAGAACCCGUAUUCGGAAGUGGAGGCGGCGAGUCCUGAUUUGAGGAAGAGCUUGUCGGAUUUUUUGGAGGAAGCGAGAGAUUUCUUGGGUGAUGGAGGUGGUCCUCCUCGGUGGUUCUCUCCGGUGGAGUGUGGCGCUCAAGCUCAAGGCUCUCCUCUCCUCCUCUUUUUACCUGGUUUGUCCUCUUUCUACUUCAGAAGGGUUUUGUUUUUGGGUUUAGGUUUGGUUCGAUUAUUUCGGUUCUAUGCAAACUUUAUUCAGACUCAAACCAAUUAGUUUGGUUUGGGUUUAGUUCUGUUUGGUUUCACUUUAGAUUGGUUUAGUUUUAUGUGAUUUACCAUCAAUUAGUCAUGAUUAAUUAAUCUAGAGCUAGAAAGUAUGAUUGUGUAAAUUUUUUAUUUAAAAUGUUAUAUUGGUGGUCAAAUGAGAUAUGAAUAUUUUUUUUAUAAAUCGUGACUUUAGAGUUAGGGAUUUUAAGAUUGAUUAAGUAAGUAAAAAGUUAUAUUAAAUAACUAGAUAGUAGAAAGAAAAAAUAAAUAAAAAGUUAUAUUAAAUAACUAGAUAGUAGAAAGAAAAAAUAAAUAUGAGUUUAAGACUUUAGAGAUUUAUAUUAAGUAUUUAGUUAACUUAAUAUUAAACAAAUAAAAAACAGUUUGGGUUAUUGGUUCGGUUUGGUUUGAAUCAAACAGAACUAUUUUGGUUGAUGAAAAGGUAAACCAAAUGGGUUGUGUGUAGAACAUAUGAUAGUUUUGAUAAUUUUUGUUUGGUAAAACUGUGAUAGUUUUUAUGGAUUUAGACUUUUAAUUACAUUUUUCAUGGGUCUCUAAAAUGUUUGUGUGUGUGUGUGUCAAGCAACGUUAAGCUUAUUCUAAUUUCUAGGUGACAAAACUGAGGAAACAAAAAAAACUUGCAGGGAUCGAUGGGACUGGACUAGGGCUCAUUCGCCAUCACAAGAAACUUGGAGAGUGCGUAAUUUCACAUUAUUCCUCUGUUUGUCCAAGAAGUGUGAUUUUGGGUAGUUUUGUUUUUGGAAGUAUUAACAUCUAAGGGAUGUUUGAUUUCUGAUGUUUGUUGUCUUUGAGUAGGGUUUUUGAUAUAUGGUGCCUUCACAUUCCAGUCAGCGAUCGUACUCCUGCUAAAGGUACCUUUUUGUUGACCCUUUGAAGUAACUAAACUGAGAAGAUAGUUACAGAAAAUUAAAGUUUGUGUUCUGUUUUAUGCAGAGUUGGUGAAACUUAUUGAGAAGACUGUUAAGUUGGAGCACUCUAGGUUCCCAAAUAGACCAAUAUAUUUAGUUGGAGAAUCUAUUGGAGCAUGUCUUGCUUUAGAUGUUGCAGCCAGGAAUCCUGAUAUUGAUCUCUCUCUAAUCUUGGUUAAUCCAGGUACAAAGCUCUCGCCCCUCUCGGUCUGUAAAAUUCUUAGUCGAUGAGUGUCACAAAUCUUUUUCUCAUAAUAGAUACUGUUUGUUGCAGCCACACAUGUCAACAACUUCAUAUCGCAACCUCUAUCAGGAAUGCUGAAUGUUUUACCAGAUGGUAUUCCAACACUGUUAGAAGAUAUCUUCGGUGUUAAGCACGGUACACUUUUACUCUCUCCACAUAUUCUAUCUUGAAUCAUCAGUUUAAACAACUAAUUGAGUUUCAAGUUGGAUCUUAAAAUGUUAAGUUCAACAUCAGUUCCUUGUAUAUCAAGAACUUAUUCAAACAUGACAAACAUUUGUUUCUUUGUCUCUGUAGGCGAUCCGCUGACUGGAAUGUUAGACGCUUUGUCAAAUGAAUUUUCUAGCCAGCGAAUAGGCGGUGUGGGUGGAGGGAUGCUAAGAGAUCUCUUUGCUGUUUCAACUAAUAUUCCUGUAAGUAUUCCUUCUUAGAACCUCAUGAUCUAUGGGGUUUUCAGUUUAUCGUCGACACAUUUUUCUACUUCAAUUCUAGUGUUCAUCUAGUAAUAUGAUCAAAAUAUAUUUGCAGACUCUUGGUAGGAUGUUCCCUAAGGACACACUACUCUGGAAGCUGGAAUUGCUUAAGUCUGCUAUUGCUUCUGUGAAUUCUCACAUAGACUCAGUCAGAGCAGAAACAAUGAUACUUCUGAGGUCCAAUACGUUUCUCUGUAAUCACCAUAAAUUUCUGAAUGUCUCUUACUUGUAAAGAGCAUAUAUAUAAGUGUUUGUUGACUACUGUAGUGGACGCGACCAAUGGCUACUGAACAAGGAAGACAUUGACAGAUACUUGCGCACGUUGCCUAAAUGUAUAGUACGUAAGCUUGAUGACAGUGGACAGUUCCCCCUUUUGGUUAGUGAUCUAUCUUCAUCCAAUAAACAAGAAAUAGGAUACUUAUUAGGGUCAAGUAUUGAUACUAUAGUUUCUUCAUGUUAGAAUAUUGGAUCAUUCAUUACACUUCAACUAUCUCUUUUAGGAGGAUGGCGUAGAUCUGGCUAAUAUCAUCAAGGCUACUUGCUUUUAUCGCCGUGGAAAGUCUCAUGAUCACAUUUCGGAUUACAUUAUGCCUACCACAUAUGAGUUAAAACAACAAAUGGACAAUGACCGGUAAAAUGUCUCACUAAUUGCUUUGAGACAUCGUAGUUUAUGUAAAUGUUUAGCAAAAUAAAUCAGACUAUCAAAUAAAAAGUUAUAGUGGAUAGAUACCAAAUGACAAAUUAUGCAGUGCAGAUUGCUAGUGGAUGCUACUUCUCCUGUAAUGCUGUCAACUCUAGCAGACGGAACACUUGUACGUGGCCUCGAAGGAUUACCUUUAGAGGGACCUGUUCUGUACGUUGGCUAUCACAUGCUCUUGGGAUUUGACUUGGUUCCAAUGGUAUCUCAAAUCUUGAAAGAGAAGAACAUUCACCUGCGGGGUUUGGCACAUCCAAUGUUUUUUAUGAAUCUCCACGACACAAUAGUCGACACAAAGAUGUUUGAUAAAUAUAAGAUAAUGGGUGGAGUUCCUGUCUCUAAUUUCAGUAUCUACAAACUACUACGUGAAAAGGCUCAUGUGCUUUUGUAUCCUGGAGGUGUCCGUGAAGCGAUGCAUAGGAAGGUGAUAGUAUAGUUUGUGAACUUCUUCUCACGGUUUCUACAUUCUUUGGAAAUUUUUAUUUUAGAGGCUUAAAAUGUAUAUUGUGACUAUGCAGGGUGAAGAAUACAAGCUGUUUUGGCCAGAACGAUCCGAGUUUGUUAGAGUUGCAUCUAAAUUUGGAGCCAAAAUCGUUCCGUUUGGUGUUGUUGGAGUAGACGACAUCUGCGAAGUAAGCUUUCUCUACUAUCUUCCGCUUUCUUCAUGUUUACAUCUUAGCGUUUUGGAAUGUAUUCAAAAUGAUGAUAAACUCUAUUCUAUAUCUAUCCGAACCUCGGUUUUAAGUAACAUUGAAUGAUUCUCAGAUUGUCUUGGACUCCAAUGAUCAAAAGAAAAUCCCUAUCUUGAAGGAUUUAGUGGAAACGGCAACAAGAACCGCUGGCAACAUAAGGUGUUUCAUUACACACUAUUCAUAGUUUGUUCUCAGAAUCUUCAAAGUAAUACUGAUCAUGUGAAUAUUGAUUUUGAACGUCAGGGAAGGAGACGAGAGCGAAUUGGGAAACCAAGAUAUCUAUUUCCCAGGAGUUGUACCUAAGAUUCCAGGGAGGUUCUACUAUUACUUUGGCAAACCAAUAGAAACAGCAGGUAUGUAUAUUAUCUAAAGCUAUGCUCUCUACAUCAAACCACUGACCUCAAUACUAGCUAUAAUCGCGGGUUUUGUUUUCCGUGGCAGGUAAGGAGAAAGAGCUGAAAGACAAAGAGAAGGCACAAGAGCUUUACUUGCAAGUAAAGUCUGAGGUUGAACAAUGCGUUGCCUAUUUAAAAGUAAAAAGAGAGAGUGAUCCUUACAGACACUUGUUGCCAAGGAUGUUGUAUCAAGCCUCACAUGGUUUGUCUUCUGAAAUUCCAACGUUUGAUCUCUAACUUCUCUCUUUUAGUAUUUUAAGUAUACUGUGGCUAGAUAUGUUGUACGCAUCUAAUCAUAUGGUGUUUAGUGCCUUAGAGGUUCUAUAAGAUCUUUUUACUUGUUCAUGGAAAAAUAAUACAAUAAUUAAUUGAAUGUAUUUAUUAUGAUAGUUUUAUGAAUGUAUACAGUUGUAUUUGUAAUGUGGCUUUAGGAUCAACAAUUUAAUUACUCUGUUUGAAAUAAUGGAUUCUUCAUUUACAUGCAUGUGACCAAAGGUAGAGGUAAUUUUGUUCAUUGUAAAACUCACAAGUCACAACCAAAGAAGAACGAUGAUUCUUUUUAGUUGCAUCAUGGAUCUUAAAGUUUUCUAAAAGCAUAUUAGACAUCUAAAAAAAAAGAGAGACUGCUAAUUAUAUGUAGAAAUCUCUGGAUCGUAACCAGAAGUGUUUUCAUAAAAUGGAGACUACAACAUUACUUUGCUCAUGUGGAGAUCCAACUAGAAGUAUUUUCUUCUUUUUUUUGUUAUUUAUAAAUUCUCGUUGCGGAGAAUUUGGCACGUAAAGUGUGUGAUGAACUGCUAAUUUAUCUUUAUGUAACCAUCCCACUUCUAAGCUAUUUGAGUCCAUGAAUGCUGUUGAAAAAAAAGAAGAGAUUCGUACUUUGCAAAUUAUAUAAGAAGAUCCAAAAGAGGUAACUGUUGUUACCGUGUGUUUAUAUCCAAAAAAUUUAUAUUUAUUAUUGCUCUAAACUCUUUUAGAUAUAAGAGGAGGUACGUGUGUGCAAUAAAGGACUUUUAGUCUACCUAGAUACAGUCCGAUCGAUGAAAGCAAAACAUUCUAAAUUAUGUUCUGUAAGUGUGAGUUUUUUGCCUUGCAGAAACAAAUAAGGUUGUAUCCUAAAGCAAAGAUCACUCUCAAUCUCAGCGUGACAGGUGACAACAAUAAAUAUAUAUUUAAAACCUCGAACAACUUUACGUUAACAAAUUUACUUCGAUCGAAUCAGGCCUUACAUUGGUGUCGGCUAGGUCUGCAGGUAGAUUAUAUAAUAUCCCACGUCGGUCGGUUGCUCAUUUGUUAGGAUGGUGUUCAUUUCGAUUAGAAAGAUUGAGAUUGCCACAUACAUAUUAGUAUAUCACACAUUUUAUGAUGUUUCAACUUUUGUUAAAUUUUUAGGUUGACCACUUACUAAUACAUAUAAGUCUAAUUAAUCAAUCAGUUUAAAGCUUGCACUAAUCAAUUUCGAAUAUUGACUAGUCUAGCAAUACAAGAACAUUUAAUUACCCAAAUUAUCACUUCUUAAUUUCCAAAACUCCUUAAUAAUUAUCAAAUUUUCAUGCAUGGUUUAAAUGUGGAUGAGUGACAAACAUAGGUCCACCACAAUGAUACCAGAAGCAUUUAUGAUCAUUUAGGUAUAGUGGAUUUGUAUACUUAAUUAGGAUUUACCCCGUGGUACACCACGGUCCAUAAUUUAAUAUAUUUGUUUGGUUGGUCAUUUUCGUACUUGGUUUAUAUAUUCUAGUUUUAUACGUGUUUAUUUCAUUUAAUUUUACAUAAAUAAUGAAUUUGUAUUAUAAGUAGAUUCAUAAAGAUAUGUGGUCAACCCGCGGUACACCGCAUAAAAAAUAAGUUAAAAAAUUAUAUUUUAACUUAACCCGUAAAAAUAUUUUAUUAUAGAAAACCCGUAAAAAAAAUAAUCAUAUUUAUGUAAACUCAAAUCCGUCCAAUCAUAUUUAUGUACAAUAUUAUUAUAUUUCAAAACAUUUAGAGUUAAAAUAUUAAUAAUACUUUAAAUUAAAUGUUAUAAUAGUAGGGCAUUAGUAAGAGUUUCUAUAAUAUUUUAAACCUUUCUAAGAAAUUAAAUUUAUAAUAUUUUGAAACUUUUUAAAAUUUAUUUUUCUUAAAUAUAUAACCAGAUUAAACAGAAUAUUUUUUAAAAUUUGGAUGCCUAAGAAACCCAAUUUCAUGCUCAUUUGUAGUUGGAAACAUAUUAGUCAUAUUUAUAAUGAUUUUGAACUCUUAUAUAAACAUUUUCCCUUUAUCAAUUGAGUUAUAUACGUCCGUUUUCAAAAAUUUAAAUUGUAAAAUGUGUGAAAAAAAUUUGUAUUUUUAUUAGAAAUAUUUUUUAUGCAAUAAUAUAAAUGGAAAAUAAAUAAGAUUAUAAUAUAUUGGAGAGAGAUUAAAGUUAUUAGAGAGAUAUUUUAGGAAAUUUUUUUGUUGUAAUAAAUAUUUGUUUCCAAUUUUGAGAUUUGCUUGUGAUUUAAUUAUAAAAUUUACUUUAAGUUUUGUUAUUUAUUCAAAUGGCCAGGGUUUGAUUAUGCAAAUAUUAUAAAAUAAAAGGUUAUAACCCAAAAUAGAUUUGUAUACAAAUGUACUUCAAAAAUGUUAAGAUAGAUUCAGUCAUAUAUAUGCAUAUGAAAAUUAUUAGGGGUAAACACUCUUAUUCAGCCCCUCUUAAUUAGCCAAUCAAAAUACAAAUUUUUUUGAGAAAUACUUUUUUUUGGUGUACAAAUUUUCAAAAAUACCUUUUUGGUGUAUCAUUUUUCAAAAAUACCUCUUUUGUCUAUCCAUUUUCAAAAAUACUCUUGUUUAAUUAUGAAAGAUUAUAAAGUUCUACAGUAUAUGGUUUAUAAGGUAGUUUUAGAUAAUAACUAAUACUGGAACAUUCGAUCCAUAUAACUUAUAAUGUUUUAACAGGUUUUAAAUCGUUUUUACAAAGUUUACAAGGUUUUCAUAACGGUUUAUAAUUUUUUUAAAGGUUUUUAUAAGGUAUUUAUACGGUAUUUAUGAAAGAUAUAUAAAAUAUUAUACACAUAUAAAGGUAAUUUGUGUGUAUAUUUAUAAGUUUACAAAUACACAUUUGGAAAAAAUUUAAUUUUUUAGUGGCUUUUUAAUAAAUUUUGAAAAAGGUAUUUUAAAAAUAGUAUGUGAAAAGGGGUAUUUUAAAAAUUUUCUAAUACAACAAUAUGUCAUAUCAUUAUAUAUUUUAAACAUAAAUCAAAAUUAAAAUUAGAAAAAAAAAUAAAGAAACAAAAUCUGUAUAGUUUUUAUUUAAAAAAUAUAUAUUUUAGUUUUGAUUUAUAAAAGAGGGUUUAAGAUUUAUAUUUUACAAUUAAACAAAAUUAUACGUCGAUUAUAGUUUAUAAAAAGGAACUAAGGUUUAGAUUUUAGAAAUAAAUGAAAUUAUAUUUUAGGUUAGAUUUAAUAAAACACGAUCAGAGUUUAAAUUUUAUAAAAUAAUAUAUAUCUAUAUAUAUAAAGUUAACUUUUUCUCUCUUCUCCUUAAGCCACAUCAUCAUCCACCUCAUUUUAUUAUUUAAUUUUUAAAAUUAAUUAUACUAUUUUAUCAUUUAAUUUUAAUAUUUAAACCUAUGUAAAUAAGUUUUUCCAAAAUGAAUAUGAAAUGUCUUUUUUUUUAUAUUAUACAUUAUAAAACUAAAAAAGAUAAUUGAUUAAAAUUUAAAAAAACUUAAUAAUUAUCAAUUACCAAAUAUAUAAAUAAUAGAUUAUAGUUUUUAGUGAAUGUUUAAAAUAUAUAUAUGAUUAUAUUUACACAAUGUAAACCUAAAUAUAAUGAGAUUUAACGGGAAUAAAACAAAAAAUAAGAAAUUUUGAGAAUAUAAAUCUAUCUAAUUUAUGUCUCAAAAAAUUUUCUAACAUAAGUGACAUAGGUCGGACCGAAACAUGAAUUCUUAUUUUUUAUACACAUAUAAAAAGGUAAAAAAUAAAAAUAAUAUUUCCUUAAAAGUUUCCAAUAUGAAUUCAACUAUUUGUUUUCAAUACAACACAUAUGUUAAACUAAUAAACAAAAUAAAAAAUUAACUAUAUUUCAUAAAAUUGAAAAUUAAAAUAAAACAUUAUUAAGUGAAAUAAAUUAAAUAUAAAGUAAAUUAUACUAAUAUGUUAAAUUUAAAAAUUGUUCCAUAUGAAAAAACAAAAAAAUAUAUAAAACAUAAAAUCAGAAAAAUAUACAAUAGUAUAUAAAUCAUCAUUACGAGAUAUAAAGUACGACAAAUCCAAAAAAGGAAAACGUAAAACAAAAAAUAAUAAAUUAUGACAAUAUAUAAAGAGAUAAUGUAAACAAUUAAAAAUACAAAAAUCCGCCCGAAACCCACAAAUCAUGUUCAAAUUUCAUGCCAACAUAUAAAAGGGCCUAAAAUAUUAAUAUCUAGAUCUAUAUUUGGUAAAAACCCUAAUACCACACGUUUCUCAAUGAUUCCCAACCGCAAUUCCAUUUACGCCCACACUUCGACUUAUACUAUACACUCUUAACUAGGUUUUGACCCGCGCUACAGCGCGGGGGAAAUAAUUACUUAUAUAUAAAUUUUAACGGAUUAUUAAAAAUAAUUUAUUUAACCUUUUACUAAAAAAAAUAAAAAAAUUUAACGGAUUAAAAUAUAAUAAAGUUUAAUUUUAUUACAGUACAGUCGAUUACAAUGAAUCAUAUAUUUGUAUAAUAAGUUUAAAUAGAUUACAAAAAAAAAGUUUAAAUAAAAUAAUAAAAGGAAAAAGCGAGUAAAUAAUAAUAUAUUGAGUUUUGCUACAAUUUAAAAAAGGGUAUAGCACGAAAUAAUAUUUAUCGAUAAAUUAUUAAAUUUGAUCAUUUUUGUAGUAGAAGUAGGAAUAGACGUAAAAAUUACAUACUACAAUAUAUUUUUUGAAGGACCAACCCGUAACAUAAUUCAUAUCGUAAAAACAUUAUUCACAACUCGCUUUACCAUUAUAAUUGUGAUUUUAAAAAAUUACCCGUGAACUAUCUAAAAUUUACGUAGUUUGAUAUAUAAUACUUUAUCAAUAAAAUUUAUGUCUCCAAAUUUACAUCUAUGUAUGGAAAACAAUAGUUUUACUAUUUUAAAUCUAAUUUUUUUUAUAAAUUUGAACCUUUUAAUUAUAAUAUUUUGAAAUUUUUUAAAAUUUUAAAUAUGCUCAUGUAACAAUGAUUUUAAUAUUGGUCAUACUUAUAAUGAUUUUAAAUCAUUGUCCAAAAUAUUUAACCGAGUGUAAUUGAGUAUUAUAUGUCCGUUUUGAAAAUUCAAAUUGCAACAUAUGCGAAAAAAAGUUAAAAAAAAUUUAAACAUUUUUCAUACUUAGUAUAAUAUUAUAAAUUGAAAAUGAGAUCAAAUAAAAGUGAAAGAAGAAUGAUAAUUGUUUUUAAUAUAUUCUAUUAAACUACUUAGAAAAAUAUUAGGAAAUCUUAAAAUUAGUUAUGGAAAUAAUAUAAUCAUAAAAUGAGAUAUGGAAAGUAUCCGAUGUAUGUAUCCGAAUCCAUUUUAAUAUCCAAUUUUGAAGUAUCCAAUUGUUAAAUUCGGGUUAAUUUUUUAAUUUUGACCCGACCCGCAUUUUAUUUUGUACUUCUCUUUUACUAAUAUAGAGAUUUCUCAACGACUAUUGAAGCUAAAACUCAAUAGUUUUUCUAUACAAACACAAUUUAAGUUUUAAAAAAGUAAAGUAUGGUAUAGUGAAAAAAAUAAGUAGGAAAUAAAAUACAAACCAAUUAUUUAUAAACAAUAUAAUAAAAUUCCGCGCGUAGCGCGGGCAACCGACUAAUAUAUAUAUAUUUUUUGGUUUAGGUUAUAAAAUAGUGGUUAGAGUUUAUAUCUUUUAUAAUCACUAGAUAUAAUCCUUUUAAUCACCAUUGUGUUUGUCAAAUGAUUAUCUCUUUAAACAGAAUUAUGCCACAUGUGAAACGUCCAAUAUAUAGAUUUUUUGUUCUUAUAUAUACAGUAAAUAUUUCUACAUCAUGCGAAUUCUUAAACAGUAAAUUCACAGCGACGAUAUACACUGACUAAUUAUAUCACACAACCUCUUAAAUAAUAAUAAAUACCACAUGUGACAUGUAAUAACGUGCUCAACGGAACAGAAUUGAUUUCCGCGUUGCCUCUUACUUUUGUUUCUGACUAUAAAAGCAAGUGCAAACAAACUGCAAAGAACUAUCUCUUUAGAAGCUUCUCACAAAAUGGAGACUACAACAUUACUUCGCUCAAGCUUCGGUCUCUGUGCUGUCUCAUCUUUAUCAUACCUACGACAACGGACCUCAGCCUCGAAACGUAGACUCAUUUCUGUCAAAUCCAUAACAUCCACGACUCCUCCUCCUUCUACGAGUGUUCGACUGGAACGGAAAGAUAAUGAUGAAAAGGGAGCCACGGUGGCGGAAAAGGUGGUCGCAAACCCGUAUUCGAAUGUGGAGACGGCGCGUCCUGAGUUGAGGAAGAGCUUGUCUGAUUUUUUGGAGGAAGCAAGAGAACUUGUUGUAGACGGAAGCGGUCCACCUCGUUGGUUCUCUCCUUUGGAGUGUGGCGCUCAAGCACAAACUCAAGGCUCUCCUCUGCUCCUCUUUAUACCUGGUUUGUCCUAUUUCGAUUUCAGAUUUUGAAUUCAAGAAUCAUAAUGUAUAUCAACCUAUGACUCAACCCCCUUGGGGUUGUUGAGUAUCCGUGUCUCAUAAUGUAUAACCUGCAGGGAUCGAUGGGACUGGACUAGGGCUCAUUAGCCAUCACAAGAAACUCGGGGAGUGCGUACUUUCACAUUAUUUCUCUGUUUAUCCAAGAACUUUGAGUUAGGAAGGGAUAUUGAUUUCUGAUAAUGUUGUCUUUGAGUAGGGUUUUUGAUAUAUGGUGCCUUCACAUUCCGGUCAGCGAUCGUACUCCUGCUAAAGGUACCCUUUUGUUGCGCCUUUGAAGUAACUAAACUGAGAAGAUAGUUACUGAAAAUUAAAGUUUGUGUUCUGUUUUAUACAGACUUGGUGAAACUUAUUGAGAAGACUGUUAAGUUGGAGCACUCUCGGUUCCCAAAUAGACCAAUAUAUUUAGUUGGAGAAUCUAUUGGAGCAUGUCUUGCUUUAGAUGUUGCAGCCAGGAAUCCAAAUAUUGAUCUUUCUUUGAUCAUGGUUAAUCCAGGUACAUAGGAUCUCGGUCUGUAGGAGUAUUCUUAAUUAGUUGGUGAAUAUCACAAAACUUUUGUCGUAAUAGAUACUGUUUGUUGCAGCCACACAUAUCAACAACUUCAUAUCGCAACUUCUAUCUGGAAUGCUGAGUGUUUUACCAGAUGGUAUUCCAACACUAUUGGAGGAUAUCUUCGGUGUUAAGCAAGGUACACUUUUAUUCUCUUCUCAUAUUCUCUCUUGAAUCAUCAGUUACACAACUGAUUGAGUUUCAAGUUGGAUCUUGACAUCAUCAUCAUCAAUCAUCAGUUACACUUUUAUGUUCAGUUUUAGCAUCUUGUUGAUUCUAUUAGUGACGGGUGUGAUGUUAUACAACAUCAGUUCCAUGUAAUUCAAGAACUUAUUCAAACAUGUGUUUCUUUGUCACGGUAUGGGAUCCGCUGGCUGGAAUGUUAGGCGCUUUGUCAAAUGAAUUUUCUAGCGAGCGUAUGGGCAGAGUGGGUGGAGGGAUGCUAAGAGAUCUCCUUGCUGUUUUAACUAAUCUUCCUGUAAGUAUUCCUUCUUAGAAACUCAUGAUCUAUAUCAGUUCUAGUGCUCAUCUAGUAAUAGGAUCUAAAUAUAUUUGCAGACUCUUGGAAGGAUGUUCUCUAAGGACACAUUGCUCUGGAAGCUGGAAAUGCUUAAGUCUGCUGUUGCUUCUGCGAAUUCUCACAUUUACUCAGUCAGAGCGGAAACAAUCAUACUUCUGAGGUCCAAUAAGUUUCUCUCAUAAAUUUUCUAAAUAUCUUUUACUUGUAAAGAGGUAUUCUAGCUUGGAGCAUAUACAAGUGUUUGUGAAUAUUUGGUUGUUGACUAUUGCAGUGGACGCUUUCAAUGGCUACUGAACAAGGAAUAUAUUGACAGAUACUCGCGCACGUUUCCGAAAUGUAUAGUCCGUAAGCUUGAUAGCAAUGGACAGUUUCCCCUUAUGGUUAGUGACUCUUCAUCCAAUAACAAGAAAUAGGAUACUUCUUAGGGUCAAGUAUUGAGACUAGUUUCCUCAUGUUACAAUAUUGGAUCAUUCAUAACCUACACUUCAACUAUCUCUUUUACAUCUCUCACUUUAGGAGGACGGCGUAGAUCUGGCUAAUAUCAUCAAGGCUACUUCUUUUUAUCGCCGUGGGAAGUCUCAUGAUCACAUUUCGGAUUACAUUAUGCCUACCCCAUAUGAGUUAAAACAACAGAUGGACAAUGACCGGUAAAAUGUUUCACUAAUUGCUUGAGACAUAUCAUAAGUUUUCUCUAUGCUUAGCAAAAUAAAUCAGACCAUCAAGUAAAAAGUUAUAGUGGAUACCAAAUGAUAAAUUCUGCAGUGCAGAUGGCUAGUGGAUGGUGCUUCCCCUGUAAUGCUGUCAACUCGAGAAGACGGAACACUUGUACGGAGCCUCGAAGGAUUACCUUUAGAGGGACCUGUUCUGUACGUUGGCAAUCAUAUGCUAUUGGCAUUUGACAUGAUUCCAAUGAUAUCUCAAAUCCUUAAAGAGAGGAACAUUCACCUGCGGGGUUUGGCACAUCCGAUGUUUUUUCUGAAUCUC
rnacentral:lncRNA from 1 species